rnacentral:rRNA from 1 species
GGGUUGUGAGGUUAAGCGACUAAGCGUACACGGUGGAUGCCCUGGCAGUCAGAGGCGAUGAAGGACGUGCUAAUCUGCGAUAAGCGUCGGUAAGGUGAUAUGAACCGUUAUAACCGGCGAUUUCCGAAUGGGGAAACCCAGUGUGUUUCGACACACUAUCAUUAACUGAAUCCAUAGGUUAAUGAGGCGAACCGGGGGAACUGAAACAUCUAAGUACCCCGAGGAAAAGAAAUCAACCGAGAUUCCCCCAGUAGCGGCGAGCGAACGGGGAGGAGCCCAGAGCCUGAAUCAGUGUGUGUGUUAGUGGAAGCGUCUGGAAAGGCGCGCGAUACAGGGUGACAGCCCCGUACACAAAAAUGCACAUGCUGUGAGCUCGAUGAGUAGGGCGGGACACGUGGUAUCCUGUCUGAAUAUGGGGGGACCAUCCUCCAAGGCUAAAUACUCCUGACUGACCGAUAGUGAACCAGUACCGUGAGGGAAAGGCGAAAAGAACCCCGGCGAGGGGAGUGAAAAAGAACCUGAAACCGUGUACGUACAAGCAGUGGGAGCCUCUUUUAUGGGGUGACUGCGUACCUUUUGUAUAAUGGGUCAGCGACUUAUAUUCUGUAGCAAGGUUAACCGAAUAGGGGAGCCGAAGGGAAACCGAGUCUUAACUGGGCGUUAAGUUGCAGGGUAUAGACCCGAAACCCGGUGAUCUAGCCAUGGGCAGGUUGAAGGUUGGGUAACACUAACUGGAGGACCGAACCGACUAAUGUUGAAAAAUUAGCGGAUGACUUGUGGCUGGGGGUGAAAGGCCAAUCAAACCGGGAGAUAGCUGGUUCUCCCCGAAAGCUAUUUAGGUAGCGCCUCGUGAAUUCAUCUCCGGGGGUAGAGCACUGUUUCGGCAAGGGGGUCAUCCCGACUUACCAACCCGAUGCAAACUGCGAAUACCGGAGAAUGUUAUCACGGGAGACACACGGCGGGUGCUAACGUCCGUCGUGAAGAGGGAAACAACCCAGACCGCCAGCUAAGGUCCCAAAGUCAUGGUUAAGUGGGAAACGAUGUGGGAAGGCCCAGACAGCCAGGAUGUUGGCUUAGAAGCAGCCAUCAUUUAAAGAAAGCGUAAUAGCUCACUGGUCGAGUCGGCCUGCGCGGAAGAUGUAACGGGGCUAAACCAUGCACCGAAGCUGCGGCAGCGACGCUUAUGCGUUGUUGGGUAGGGGAGCGUUCUGUAAGCCUGUGAAGGUGUGCUGUGAGGCAUGCUGGAGGUAUCAGAAGUGCGAAUGCUGACAUAAGUAACGAUAAAGCGGGUGAAAAGCCCGCUCGCCGGAAGACCAAGGGUUCCUGUCCAACGUUAAUCGGGGCAGGGUGAGUCGACCCCUAAGGCGAGGCCGAAAGGCGUAGUCGAUGGGAAACAGGUUAAUAUUCCUGUACUUGGUGUUACUGCGAAGGGGGGACGGAGAAGGCUAUGUUGGCCGGGCGACGGUUGUCCCGGUUUAAGCGUGUAGGCUGGUUUUCCAGGCAAAUCCGGAAAAUCAAGGCUGAGGCGUGAUGACGAGGCACUACGGUGCUGAAGCAACAAAUGCCCUGCUUCCAGGAAAAGCCUCUAAGCAUCAGGUAACAUCAAAUCGUACCCCAAACCGACACAGGUGGUCAGGUAGAGAAUACCAAGGCGCUUGAGAGAACUCGGGUGAAGGAACUAGGCAAAAUGGUGCCGUAACUUCGGGAGAAGGCACGCUGAUAUGUAGGUGAAGCGACUUGCUCGUGGAGCUGAAAUCAGUCGAAGAUACCAGCUGGCUGCAACUGUUUAUUAAAAACACAGCACUGUGCAAACACGAAAGUGGACGUAUACGGUGUGACGCCUGCCCGGUGCCGGAAGGUUAAUUGAUGGGGUCAGCGCAAGCGAAGCUCUUGAUCGAAGCCCCGGUAAACGGCGGCCGUAACUAUAACGGUCCUAAGGUAGCGAAAUUCCUUGUCGGGUAAGUUCCGACCUGCACGAAUGGCGUAAUGAUGGCCAGGCUGUCUCCACCCGAGACUCAGUGAAAUUGAACUCGCUGUGAAGAUGCAGUGUACCCGCGGCAAGACGGAAAGACCCCGUGAACCUUUACUAUAGCUUGACACUGAACAUUGAGCCUUGAUGUGUAGGAUAGGUGGGAGGCUUUGAAGUGUGGACGCCAGUCUGCAUGGAGCCGACCUUGAAAUACCACCCUUUAAUGUUUGAUGUUCUAACGUUGACCCGUAAUCCGGGUUGCGGACAGUGUCUGGUGGGUAGUUUGACUGGGGCGGUCUCCUCCUAAAGAGUAACGGAGGAGCACGAAGGUUGGCUAAUCCUGGUCGGACAUCAGGAGGUUAGUGCAAUGGCAUAAGCCAGCUUGACUGCGAGCGUGACGGCGCGAGCAGGUGCGAAAGCAGGUCAUAGUGAUCCGGUGGUUCUGAAUGGAAGGGCCAUCGCUCAACGGAUAAAAGGUACUCCGGGGAUAACAGGCUGAUACCGCCCAAGAGUUCAUAUCGACGGCGGUGUUUGGCACCUCGAUGUCGGCUCAUCACAUCCUGGGGCUGAAGUAGGUCCCAAGGGUAUGGCUGUUCGCCAUUUAAAGUGGUACGCGAGCUGGGUUUAGAACGUCGUGAGACAGUUCGGUCCCUAUCUGCCGUGGGCGCUGGAGAACUGAGGGGGGCUGCUCCUAGUACGAGAGGACCGGAGUGGACGCAUCACUGGUGUUCGGGUUGUCAUGCCAAUGGCACUGCCCGGUAGCUAAAUGCGGAAGAGAUAAGUGCUGAAAGCAUCUAAGCACGAAACUUGCCCCGAGAUGAGUUCUCCCUGACUCCUUGAGAGUCCUGAAGGAACGUUGAAGACGACGACGUUGAUAGGCCGGGUGUGUAAGCGCAGCGAUGCGUUGAGCUAACCGGUACUAAUGAACCGUGAGGCUUAACCUUACAACGCCGAAG